rnacentral:rRNA from 1 species
AAGUCGAGGGGUAACAGAGGUAGCUUGCUACUUGCUGACGACCGGCGCACGGGUGCGUAACGCGUACAGAAUCUACCUUGUACUAGGGGAUAGCCUUUGGAAACGAAGAUUAAUACCCUAUAGUAAGUAUUUAUGGCAUCAUUUAUACUUUAAAGGUUGCGGUACAAGAUGACUAUGCGUCCUAUUAGUUUGUUGGUGAGGUAACGGCUCACCAAGACUUCGAUAGGUAGGGGCCCUGAGAGGGGGAUCCCCCACACUGGUACUGAGACACGGACCAGACUCCUACGGGAGGCAGCAGUGAGGAAUAUUGGACAAUGGAGGCAACUCUGAUACAGCCAUGCCGCGUGCAGGAUGACGGCCCUAUGGGUUGUAAACUGCUUUUAUGUAGGAAGAAACACUCUCACGUGUGAGAGCUUGACGGUACUACAAGAAUAAGGACCGGCUAACUCCGUGCCAGCAGCCGCGGUAAUACGGAGGGUCCAAGCGUUAUCCGGAAUCAUUGGGUUUAAAGGGUCCGUAGGCGGGCUAUUAAGUCAGAGGUGAAAGUUUGCAGCUCAACUGUAAAAUUGCCUUUGAAACUGGUAGUCUUGAAUUAUUAUGAAGUGGUUAGAAUAAGUAGUGUGGCGGUGAAAUGCAUAGAUAUUACUUA